rnacentral:rRNA from 1 species
AUUGAACGCUGGCGGCAGGCCUAACACAUGCAAGUCGAACGAGUGGCGGACGGGUGAGUAAUGUCUGGGAAACUGCCCGAUGGAGGGGGAUAACUACUGGAAACGGUAGCUAAUACCGCAUACCCUCGGAUGUGCCCAGAUGGGCUUAGCUUGUAGGUGAGGUAACGGCUCACCUAGGCGACGAUCCCUAGCUGGUCUGAGAGGAUGACCAGCAAGACUGGAACUGAGAAACGGUCCAGACACCUACGGGAGGCAGCAGUGGGGAAUAUUGGACAAUGGGCGCAAGGCUAAUGCGACCAUGCCGCGUGUAUGAAGAAGGCCUUCGGGUUGUAAAGUACUUUCAGCGGGGAGGCGUUACCCGCAGAAGAAGCACCGGCUAACUCCGUGCCAGCAGACGCGGUAAUAC